rnacentral:rRNA from 1 species
UACGUAGGGGGCAAGCGUUGUCCGGAUUUAUUGGGCGUAAAGAGCGUGUAGGCGGCCAGACAGGUCAGCUGUGAAAACUCGAGGCUCAACCUCGAGACGUCGGUUGAAACCGUUUGGCUAGAGUCCGGAAGAGGAGAGUGGAAUUCCCGGUGUAGCGGUGAAAUGCGCAGAUAUCGGGAAGAACACCCGUGGCGAAGGCGGCUCUCUGGGACGGUACUGACGCUGAGACGCGAAAGCGUGGGGGAGCGAACAGG